rnacentral:rRNA from 1 species
UACGUAGGGGGCUAGCGUUGUCCGGAAUCAUUGGGCGUAAAGAGCGUGUAGGCGGUCCGGUAAGUCCGUUGUGAAAGUCAAGGGCUCAACCCUUGAAUGCCGGCGGAUACUGUCGGGCUAGAGUCCGGAAGAGGCGAGUGGAAUUCCUGGUGUAGCGGUGAAAUGCGCAGAUAUCAGGAGGAACACCAAUUGCGAAGGCAGCUCGCUGGGACGUUACUGACGCUGAGACGCGAAAGCGUGGGGAGCAAACAGG